AUUGAACGCUGGCGGCAGGCCUAACACAUGCAAGUCGAACGGAGUGGCGGUCGGGUGAGUAAUGUAUAGCUAAUCUGCCCUACACUAGAGGACAACAGUUGGAAAUGGCUGCUAUAACUCAAUAGUGUAGGAGGAGGCUAUAUUGUCUCAGCUAGUUGGUGAGGAAAUGGCGCACCAAGGUUAUGACGCAUAACUGGUCUGAGAGGAUGAUCAGGCACACUGGAGCGAGGACACGGUCCAGAGUCCUACGGGAGGGAGCAGUAGGGAAGAUAGCGAAAUGGGGUAAGUCCUGAAGCAGCAACGACGGGAGGAGGAUGACACUUUUCGAGGAGGAAACUCCUUUUGGUAGGGAAGCGGUACCUAACGAAUAAGCACCGGCUAACUCCGUGCCAGCAGCCGCGGUAAUAC
rnacentral:rRNA from 1 species